CCAAUAGCGUAUAUUAAAGUUGUUGCAGUUAAAAAGCUCGUAGUUGAAUUUCGGGGUUAGUAAGUUGGUCAUGCCUUUGGUAUGCACUGGCUUUACUGAUUCCUCCUUCUUGACGAACCGUGAUGUCAUUAAUUUGGUGUUGCGGGAAAUCAGGACUGUUACUUUGAAAAAAUUAGAGUGUUUAAAGCAGGCUAACGCUUGAAUACAUUAGCAUGGAAUAAUGAAAUAGGACGUUAAUCCUAUUUUGUUGGUUUCUAGGAUCGACGUAAUGAUUAAUAGGGAUAGUUGGGGGCAUUAGUAUUCAAUUGUCAGAGGUGAAAUUCUUGGAUUUAUUGAAGACUAACUACUGCGAAAGCAUUUGCCAAGGAUGUUUUCAUUAAUCAAGAACGAAAGUUAGGGGAUCGAAGACGAUCAGAUACCGUCGUAGUCUUAACCAUAAACUAUGCCGACUAGGGAUCGGAUGAUGUUAAUUCUUUAAUGACUCAUUCGGCGCCUUACG
rnacentral:rRNA from 1 species